AUCUAGCUGACGAGUCCCAAAUAGGACAAAAUACACGUCCUGGAU
rfam:Schistosoma mattheei strain Denwood, Zambia genome assembly, scaffold: SMTD_scaffold0012513